GUUAACUGGUGGACAUGAAGACUGAAAAAACUCGUAGAGCGUGUGUUGUCUAUCAGCUUCUUCUUUCGUAACCAACGAGAUGGGAGUUAAAUAAUAGCACUACAUUU